rnacentral:rRNA from 1 species
AUACAGAGGGCUCAAGCGUUAAUCGGAAUCACUGGGCUUAAAGGGUGCGCAGGCGGACCCGUCAGUGUCUUGUGAAAUCCCACGGCUCAACCGUGGAACUGCAGGGCAUACUGCGGGUCUUGAACCCGGCAGGGGCAACCGGAACUCUAGGUGGAGCGGUGAAAUGCGUAGAUAUCUAGAGGAACGCCAAAGGCGAAGGCAGGUUGCUGGGCCGGUGUUGACGCUCAGGCACGAAAGCGUGGGUAGCGAACGGGAUUAGAAACCCCUGUAGUCC